GGGGAUGACCGGUUUUGACAGCAAGAUCAAUGGGUAAGUAAGCAUGUCGAGUCACGUAGUGUAAUCUCGUAAAUCUUCCAUUACAAAAUUAUAACUGGCAACGAAGAAUACGCUUUAGCUGCUUAAUUAAGACUGAAUCAUAGUAGGUCUAAGCGAUUUCCUUACAAGGUAAGGAAGCUAAAUGUCUCUCAAAAGCCCUUCUCUGCGGCGUUUGGUAAAGAGGCACGGGAAUGUGGAGAUAGAACAGAGUAAGCAUCGGAUUCUGUUCGAAAAUUUUGAUGAUAAGCCUUUUGUAGAGUGUGAAUUCUCAGCAAGCGGACGAAAAUUAACAAUUCACUAAGCAUGUAGAAAGCUUGCGUAUUGCUUGUUUGGACGAGGGUUCGAAUCCCUCCAUCUCCACU
rnacentral:tmRNA from 1 species